rnacentral:rRNA from 1 species
UACGUAGGAUCCAAGCGUUAUCCGGAAUCACUGGGCGUAAAGCGUGCGUAGGCGGCGUGUUAAGUGAGAUGCGAAAUCUUGUGGCUCAACCAUAUAGACUGUGUCUCAUACUGGCAUGCUAGAGAAUGGCAGAGGCAAGUGGAAUUACCGGUGUAGCAGUGAAAUGCGUAGAGAUCGGAAGAACACCGGUGGCGAAGGCGGCCUGCUGGGCAGUAGCUGACGCUGAGGCGCGACAGCGUGGGGAGCAAACAGG